UCGGCCCAUGCCCUGUGGCUAUAUAAUCUCUCAUCCGGCAGUUUACUGCCAUUCCAUCUUGGAAGCUUCAGCAAAACAUCUCGAGUUACCAAUUUGCCUACAAUUUCUUACAACUCAAUGGCACCCCGCACACCAAAGAAGCCCGCAGGCCGCAAACGGAGAAGAAGAUCCACAAU